CCUCUCCCUCAGUAGUUUGCCUGUGUAGACGGUUGAUAGAUUGGUACAUGAUGCCUCUCCCUCAGUAGUUUGCCUGUGUAGACGGUUGAUAGAUUGGUACAUGAUGCCUCUCCCUCAGUAGUUUGCCUGUGUAGAUGGUUGAUAGAUUGGCACAUGAUGCCUCUCCCUCAGUAGUUUGCCUGUGUAGAUGGUUGAUAGAAAGUUGUACUAAAUUAAUGUCUUCUUCCGUAGCUUGCUUAGCAUGCUCUCCCAUCAAGAAAAUGGAGUGUGGUGUGUGAAGAUGUGAUGUGUGAAGAUUUGAGGACGGGAAUUGGUGUGAAGAUUUGAGGACGGGAAUUGGUGUGAAGAUUUGAGGACGGGAAUUGGAUAUGUGUACCAAUAUGAAACUCCGGCUGGAUCUGAAAUUGAGGUGUACUCAAACAGUGUUUGUGGAGAUCUUAUGACUCCAAUAGCCUACUGUGGCAUGAACAAGCCUUUUGAGGCACAUCUCUCUGAUAAGGUGAUAAAUGUGAACAACAGUGCUGUCAUCCUCUCUGAAUGCCUGAAUCUGACAUUCACAUUCUUUCAUGUUCUCCAGGGCAAGGUGGAGGAGCGCCAUUUGUAUUACAUUGUUGCAGGGCAAGGUGGAGGAGUGCCAUUUGUAUUACAUUGUUGCAGGUAAAGAAUGAUUUUCCUAUUUUCUUUCAUUUUAAACUUCUUGCACUUUCAUAUUGAUACAUAUAUCCAAGGCAGUUAACGCUAAUUUCUCUGGAUAAGAGCGUCUGCUAAAAUGUAAAAAACGUAGACUGACAAUUCAACUGACAUUUUAAUUUACAAUCCGACUGACACCUCGGACAACACAUCAGGUAAGUACUCUUAACUAAUAUAAAGACAGCUCAUUACUGUCUAUAGCAUCUCCAUCUGAAAUAAAAUACAUAUUCAAUUGAAAUGAUUUUACUCUCUGAUUAAACUCAGGAAAUGGAGACAAAGCCAAAGCCACUGGCCACACAAAGGAAAUCACUGCUGGUGUUCUUGGUUCUGCUGCUGGGCAUUGCUGGUUUCUUAGUGUACAGAUAUGGCAACAUUCCUUGGAGAGACAAACAUCCCUUAGAUCGGCUGGGUCGGGACUACCUUAACACCAACAGGGAAAAACAAAGGGACCAGGGGGAUGGGGUGGAAGAGGAGAGGGAGCCACCACACAGUCAGGAGACACAUGUUGAGUCCUCUCUGCUGAAUGGGCAUCUUGUGAACAGGGUUAACGAUGAGACUAAGGAAGCGACUCCUGGUGCACAGAGUCCAGGACCUCCUCAGACGAAUGGAGGACCUCCCAUGUCUGACAGGUUGGAGAACAACCCUGUUGGUCAGUGGAUGAAGAAAACUGCUCUGGUGAACAAGCAGGACCAGGACUGGUCAGCAACGGCAUGAAGCCAGUUGAAAAUAUAUAGCAUAUAAGAUGAAACUAAGUGUAAAUAUAAUAAAAAAUAACAUGAUAUACACUGUAAUAUAGAACAGUAUAAUAUAAUAUGACAUGAUAUAAUAUCGUAACACUUACUUGUAUAGUGUUAUAUAUUCUAAUGAAUGCAUUCUUAACAACAUGAAUGAUGCAUUAAUGCAUACAUAGGACAUAACUGUAUAGUAAAAUUAUAAUAUAAUACUGUGCUGGUAAGCUGCUAGCUGUGGGGUUGCCCCCAGCUGUGGUUUCUAUUAUUCAGAGUAUCUAAGCUCAACUUCAAAUCCAUAGUUUUUAGCUUAGUUCUUACCGUAAACUAGCACUUCUUAGAGACAAAGUUAUGGGACAUGCUGUAUAACUACUUACCAUUCUGAAGUGUAACAGUCAAGUUUAUAUGUAACAAUUGUUCAUCCCUUUUUUAAAUGUUUAUUUAUAUAUUUGUUUGCUUGAUUAGAUUGAAUUAGUAUGACUAAUGCAUUAUUUUACCCUCCCGUAUAGAGGGACAUUAUUUUACCCUCCUGUAUAGAGGGACAUUAUUUUACCCUCCUGUAUAGAGGGACAUUAUUUUACCCUCCUGUAUAGAGGGACAUUAUUUUACCCUCCCAUAUAGAGGGACAUUAUUUUACCCUCCCGUAUAGAGGGACAUUAUUUUACCCUCCCGUAUAGAGGGACAUUAUUUUACCCUCCCGUAUAGAGGGACAUUAUUUUACCCUCCCGUAUAGAGGGACAUUAUUUUACCCUCCCGUAUAGAGGGACAUUAUUUUACCCUCCUGUAUAGAGGGACAUUAUGUUACCCUCCUG
ensembl:lncRNA